GGCAAAGUGACCGAGUGGUUAAGGUGCCACACUUGAAACGUCAAGUCAUGUGGUGGGUUCGCCCGCGCAAGUUCGAAUCUUGUCUUUGUCG